AAGGACACUCUCUCAGCUGUUAUAAUUGCAGGAGUUCGCUCGGUUCUUGUGUGUUUCAAGAAAAAGAAACAUGUCCCAGUGAAUCUCUUUAUUGCAUGAGUACAACAGGAGUGGUACAAAUUGAUGGCAUUAAAACAGUUAAUAAGUUUAAAGGUUGUGUUCCUGAUUGUCAAAGUGGGUCCCUGAACAUUGGCUAUUCAAAGAUGACCCUUUCUUGCUGUAACACAGACCUGUGUAACGCCCAAGAUGCUCCAGAUCCCAACACAAACGUCCCCAACGGAAAGAAAUGUUUCUCCUGUGUUGGACAGAGCUGCUCAAACACUCUGAGCUGUUUAGGGACUGAAAACAGCUGCUUUAAAGCAA